UGCGUAGGCGGCCCUUUAAGUCGGAUGUGAAAGCCCGCGGCUUAACCGCGGAAUGGCAUUCGAAACUGGAGGGCUUGAGUGUCGGAGAGGGUAGUGGAAUUCUCAGUGUAGCGGUGAAAUGCGUAGAUAUUGGGAGGAACACCAGUGGCGAAGGCGACUACCUGGACGAUAACUGACGCUGAGGCACGAAAGCUAGGGGAGCAAACA
rnacentral:rRNA from 1 species